GAUGAACGCUGGCGGCGUGCCUAAUACAUGCAAGUCGAGCGAACGGACGAGAAGCUUGCUUCUCUGAUGUUAGCGGCGGACGGGUGAGUAACACGUGGAUAACCUACCUAUAAGACUGGGAUAACUUCGGGAAACCGGAGCUAAUACCGGAUAAUAUUUUGAACCGCAUGGUUCAAAAGUGAAAGACGGUCUUGCUGUCACUUAUAGAUGGAUCCGCGCUGCAUUAGCUAGUUGGUAAGGUAACGGCUUACCAAGGCAACGAUGCAUAGCCGACCUGAGAGGGUGAUCGGCCACACUGGAACUGAGACACGGUCCAGACUCCUACGGGAGGCAGCAGUAGGGAAUCUUCCGCAAUGGGCGAAAGCCUGACGGAGCAACGCCGCGUGAGUGAUGAAGGUCUUCGGAUCGUAAAACUCUGUUAUUAGGGAAGAACAUAUGUGUAAGUAACUGUGCACAUCUUGACGGUACCUAAUCAGAAAGCCACGGCUAACUACGUGCCAGCAGCCGCGGUAAUACGUAGGUGGCAAGCGUUACCCGGAAUUAUUGGGCGUAAAGCGCGCGUAGGCGGUUUUUUAAGUCUGAUGUGAAAGCCCACGGCUCAACCGUGGAGGGUCAUUGGAAACUGGAAAACUUGAGUGCAGAAGAGGAAAGUGGAAUUCCAUGUGUAGCGGUGAAAUGCGCAGAGAUAUGGAGGAACACCAGUGGCGAAGGCGACUUUCUGGUCUGUAACUGACGCUGAUGUGCGAAAGCGUGGGGAUCAAACAGGAUUAGAUACCCUGGUAGUCCACGCCGUAAACGAUGAGUGCUAAGUGUUAGGGGGUUUCCGCCCCUUAGUGCUGCAGCUAACGCAUUAAGCACUCCGCCUGGGGAGUACGACCGCAAGGUUGAAACUCAAAGGAAUUGACGGGGACCCGCACAAGCGGUGGAGCAUGUGGUUUAAUUCGAAGCAACGCGAAGAACCUUACCAAAUCUUGACAUCCUUUGACAACUCUAGAGAUAGAGCCUUCCCCUUCGGGGGACAAAGUGACAGGUGGUGCAUGGUUGUCGUCAGCUCGUGUCGUGAGAUGUUGGGUUAAGUCCCGCAACGAGCGCAACCCUUAAGCUUAGUUGCCAUCAUUAAGUUGGGCACUCUAAGUUGACUGCCGGUGACAAACCGGAGGAAGGUGGGGAUGACGUCAAAUCAUCAUGCCCCUUAUGAUUUGGGCUACACACGUGCUACAAUGGACAAUACAAAGGGCAGCGAAACCGCGAGGUCAAGCAAAUCCCAUAAAGUUGUUCUCAGUUCGGAUUGUAGUCUGCAACUCGACUACAUGAAGCUGGAAUCGCUAGUAAUCGUAGAUCAGCAUGCUACGGUGAAUACGUUCCCGGGUCU
rnacentral:rRNA from 1 species